AGUAAUACAUAAGUAACCUGCCCUAGACAGGGGGAUAACUAUUGGGAACGAUAGCUAAGACCGCAUAGGUACGGACACUGCAUGGUGACCGUAUUAAAAGUGCCUCAAAGCACUGGUAGAGGAUGGACUUAUGGCGCAUUAGCUGGUUGGCGGGGUAACGGCCCACCAAGGCGACGAUGCGUAGCCGACCUGAGAGGGUGACCGGCCACACUGGGACUGAGACACGGCCCAG
rnacentral:rRNA from 1 species